ensembl:lncRNA
GCUAAUAAUACAUCUCUCCACCUCUUUUUUCUUAUGACACUUUACGCUUCUUGCUGGAGUCAGAUCUGGAGGCCCUAGAGCAGGGAUUCUUACUCAAAGCUCGAAAGAUCUGCAAGGAAAACAAGACUGAGGGGUCUUGUCCUCUGCUGUCCAGGCUGAGGGGGCACUGUGAUCUGCUGCCAGGUGAAUUCUUUACUGCUGAGCCAUUGGGGAAGCUCCUGCACGGUCUCAGGAACCUCCAGGAAAAGUCACCAAGCAAGCCAUCGACCAUCAACUGGUUAAAAUGCCAAAGCUUGUGAUAGUGAAACCGAGCAGGA